rnacentral:rRNA from 1 species
AUUGAACGCUGGCGGCAGGCUUAACACAUGCAAGUCGAGCGGGGGAAGGUAGCUUGCUACCGGACCUAGCGGCGGACGGGUGAGUAAUGCUUAGGAAUCUGCCUAUUAGUGGGGGACAACAUCUCGAAAGGGAUGCUAAUACCGCAUACGUCCUACGGGAGAAAGCAGGGGAUCUUCGGACCUUGCGCUAAUAGAUGAGCCUAAGUCGGAUUAGCUAGUUGGUGGGGUAAAGGCCUACCAAGGCGACGAUCUGUAGCGGGUCUGAGAGGAUGAUCCGCCACACUGGGACUGAGACACGGCCCAGACUCCUACGGGAGGCAGCAGUGGGGAAUAUUGGACAAUGGGGGGAACCCUGAUCCAGCCAUGCCGCGUGUGUGAAGAAGGCCUUAGGGUUGUAAAGCACGUUAAGCGAGGAGGAGGCUACUUUAGUUAAUACCUAGAGAUAGUGGACGUUACUCGCAGAAUAAGCACCGGCUAACUCUGUG